UCCAGUCAAUCAUGCAACUCCCAGGCCCCACUCGGUCUCACGGCUUUUACGUGUUUUUACCGUCUCACUUUAUUGCUUCAAAGUUCGUCUGUUCACAGAAAAAAAGGGAAGCUAGAAAAUAAUAUUCAAUGAGAAAAUAUACGGAUUCAAAUGGGCUGAUUGUGGUCGAGGGAAAGAUUUUUUUCUGAAGAAACUGAGAAGCCUGCGUACGAACCGAAAGUAAAAUCUACCCUCAAGUGUUCCGGGAGUGAAUGCCUCCCGUCGAGUUCUUCUUCAAUUGUAGCAGCAGAGGACUAUAAAGAGGCUUUACAUUACUAUUCUCAUCAAGAUGUCACGAAGCAAAUUCAAAACAGAAAGGUGAAUAAAGCAAGGAAUUAACCCAGAUUCAUUAUGUAGGCUGGCUGAAAGCAAAUGUAAAUGAAUGUUUUUCAUAUUCUUUUAUUUUUAGUAUAAUUAUAUUCAAUCAACCCUCA